CUCGGCAUCUGGGGACGCUCUCUGCUGUCGGCGCCCGGCCCAGCUUCCUUCAAAAUGUCUACUGUUCAGGAAAUCCUGUGCAAGCUCAGCUUGGAGGGUGAUCACUCUACACCCGCAAGUGCAGAUGGGUCAGUCAAAGCCUACACCAACUUUGAUGCUGAACGGGAUGCUUUGAACAUUGAAACGGCCAUCAAGACCAAAGGUGUGGAUGAGGUCACCAUUGUCAACAUUUUGACCAACCGCAGCAAUGCACAGAGACAGGAUAUUGCCUUCUCCUACCAGAGAAGGCACUUGCAUCGGCACUGAAGUCAGCCUUAUCUGGCCACCUGGAGACGGUGAUUUUAGGCCUAUUGAAGACACCUGCUCAGUAUGAUGCUUCUGAGCUAAAAGCUUCCAUGAAGGGGCUGGGAACCGAUGAGGACUCCCUCAUUGAAAUCAUCUGCUCAAGAACCAACCAGGAGCUGCAGGAAAUUAACAGAGUCUAUAAGGAAAUGUACAAGACUGAUCUGGAGAAGGACAUUAUUUCGGAUACAUCUGGUGACUUCCGCAAGCUGAUGGUUGCCCUAGCAAAGGGCAGAAGAGCAGAGGAUGGCUCUGUCAUUGAUUAUGAACUGAUUGACCAAGAUGCCCGGGAUCUCUAUGACACUGGAGUGAAGAGGAAAGGAACUGAUGUUCCCAAGUGGAUCAGCAUCAUGACCGAGUGAAGCAUGUGCCACCUCCAGAAAGUAUUUGAUAGGUACAAGAGCUACAGCCCUUAUGACAUGUUGCUAAUGCAUUUAUUGAUUAUUCUGAAUAACCGUUUAGUUUUUUUGAAAUGUUUAAAAUCUAUUAGGUCGACCAUAUGGUUUACUCCUUUAAUCUAUUCAUGUUAAUAUAGUGAAUAACGU